rnacentral:tRNA from 1 species
UCCAGGGUAGCCGAGUGUACGGGGCACCUGCCCGGUAAGCGGAAGGGUGUGGGUUCGAUUCCCGCCCCUGGAC